AGAGUUUGAUCAUGGCUCAGAACGAACGCUGGCGGCGUGGAUAAGACAUGCAAGUCGGACGAGAUUUUCCGUUGUAGCAAUACGAUGGAAAGUCUAGUGGCGAACGGGUGCUUAACACGUGGGCAACCUGCCAAGAAGUGGGGAAUAGCUCGCCGAAAGGCGAAUUAAUACCGUAUGUGAUCAGAGAGGACAUCCUUUCGAAAUUAAAGUCGGGGCAACCUGACGCUUUCUGUGGGGCCCGCGGCCUAUCAGCUAGUUGGUGAGGUAACGGCCCACCAAGGCUUUGACGGGUAGCUGGUCUGAGAGGACGACCAGCCACACUGGGACUGAGACACGGCCCAGACACCUACGGGUGGCAGCAGUCGAGAAUUUUUGACAAUGGGGGAAACCCUGAUCGAGCGACGCCGCGUGGAGGAUGAAGGUCUUCGGAUUGUAAACUCCUGUCAUCGGGGAACAAUGCGUGACGGUUAACUGCCGCUGCGUUGAUAGUACCCGAAGAGGAAGAGACGGCUAACUCUGUGCCAGCAGCCGCGGUAAUACAGAGGUCUCAAGCGUUGUUCGGAUUCAUUGGGCGUAAAGGGUGCGUAGGCGGCGCGGUAAGUCGGGUGUGAAAUCUCGGAGCUUAACUCCGAAACUGCAUUCGAUACUGCCGUGCUUGAGGACUGGAGAGGAGACUGGAAUUUACGGUGUAGCGGUGAAAUGCGUAGAUAUCGUAAGGAAGACCAGUGGCGAAGGCGGGUCUCUGGACAGUUCCUGACGCUGAGGCACGAAAGCCAGGGGAGCAAACGGGAUUAGAUACCCCGGUAGUCCUGGCAGUAAACGGUGCACGUUUGGUGUGGGAGGAUUCGACCCCUUCUGCGCCGGAGCUAACGCGUUAAACGUGCCGCCUGGGGAGUACGGUCGCAAGAUUAAAACUCAAAGAAAUUGACGGGGCCCGCACAAGCGGUGGAGUAUGUGGCUCAAUUCGAUGCA
rnacentral:rRNA from 1 species